rnacentral:rRNA from 1 species
AUUGAACGCUGGCGGCAUGCCUUACACAUGCAAGUCGAACGGCAGCACGGGAGCAAUCCUGGUGGCGAGUGGCGAACGGGUGAGUAAUAUAUCGGAACGUGCCCAGUCGUGGGGGGAUAACGUAGCGAAAGCUACGCUAAUACCGCAUACGAUCUACGGAUGAAAGCGGGGGAUCGCAAGACCUCGCGCGAUUGGAGCGGCCGAUAUCAGAUUAGGUAGUUGGUGAGGUAAAGGCUCACCAAGCCGACGAUCUGUAGCUGGUCUGAGAGGACGACCAGCCACACUGGGACUGAGACACGGCCCAGACUCCACGGGAGGCAGCAGUGGGGAAUUUUGGACAAUGGGCGCAAGCCUGAUCCAGCAAUGCCGCGUGCAGGAUGAAGGCCUUCGGGUUGUAAACUGCUUUUGUACGGAACGAAACGGUGAGCUCUAAUACAGUUUGCUAAUGACGGUACCGUAAGAAUAAGCACCGGCUAACUACGUG